rnacentral:tRNA from 1 species
GUGGGUACAGCUCAGUGGUAAAGCACGUGCUUAGCAUGUGUGAGGUCCUGGGUUCAAUUUCCAGUCCCUGCA